AGUGAACGCUGGCGGUAGGCCUAACACAUGCAAGUCGAACGGCAGCACAGUAAGAGCUUGCUCUUACGGGUGGCGAGUGGCGGACGGGUGAGGAAUACAUCGGAAUCUACUUUUUCGUGGGGGAUAACGUAGGGAAACUUACGCUAAUACCGCAUACGACCUACGGGUGAAAGCAGGGGAUCUUCGGACCUUGCGCGAUUGAAUGAGCCGAUGUCGGAUUAGCUAGUUGGCGGGGUAAAGGCCCACCAAGGCGACGAUCCGUAGCUGGUCUGAGAGGAUGAUCAGCCACACUGGAACUUAGACACGGUCCAGACUCCUACGGGAGGCAGCAGUGGGGAAUAUUGGACAAUGGGCGCAAGCCUGAUCCAGCCCUCCCGCGUGGGUGAAGAAGGCCUUCGGGUUGUAAAGCCCUUUUGUUGGGAAAGAAAAGCAGCAGGUUAAUACCCCGCUGUUCUGACGGUACCCAAAGAAUAAGCACCGGCUAACUUCGUG
rnacentral:rRNA from 1 species